AUUGAACGCUGGCGGCAGGCCUAACACAUGCAAGUCGAACGAGUGGCGGACGGGUGAGUAAUGUCUGGGAAACUGCCUGGUGGAGGGGGAUAACUACUGGAAACGGUAGCUAAUACCGCAUACCAUCGGAUGUGCCGAGAUGGGAUUAGCUAGUAGUUGGGGUAACGGCCCACCUAGGCGACGAUCCCUAGCUGGUCUGAGAGGAUGACCGGACACACUGGAACUGGGAGACGGUCCAGACUCCUACGGGAGGCAGCAGUGGGUAACAGUGCACAAUGGGCGCAAGCCUGAUCCAGCCAUGCCGCGUGUAUGAAGAAGGCCUUCGGGUUGUAAAGUACUUUCAGCGGGGAGGAGUUACCCGCAGAGGAAGCACCGGCUAACUCCGUGCCAGCAGCCGCGGUAAUAC
rnacentral:rRNA from 1 species